AUGAACGCUAGCGACAGGCUUAACACAUGCAAGUCGAGGGGCAGCACAGGUAGCAAUACCGGGUGGCGACCGGCGCACGGGUGAGUAACGCGUAUGCAACUUACCUAUCAGAGGGGGAUAACCCGGCGAAAGUCGGACUAAUACCGCAUGAAGCAGGGGCCCCGCAUGGGGAUAUUUGCUAAAGAUUCAUCGCUGAUAGAUAGGCAUGCGUUCCAUUAGGCAGUUGGCGGGGUAACGGCCCACCAAACCGACGAUGGAUAGGGGUUCUGAGAGGAAGGUCCCCCACAUUGGUACUGAGACACGGACCAAACUCCUACGGGAGGCAGCAGUGAGGAAUAUUGGUCAAUGGCCGAGAGGCUGAACCAGCCAAGUCGCGUGAGGGAUGAAGGUUCUAUGGAUCGUAAACCUCUUUUAUAAGGGAAUAAAGUGCGGGACGUGUCCCGUUUUGUAUGUACCUUAUGAAUAAGGAUCGGCUAACUCCGUGCCAGCAGCCGCGGUAAUACGGAGGAUCCGAGCGUUAUCCGGAUUUAUUGGGUUUAAAGGGUGCGUAGGCGGCCUUUUAAGUCAGCGGUGAAAGUCUGUGGCUCAACCAUAGAAUUGCCGUUGAAACUGGGGGGCUUGAGUAUGUUUGAGGCAGGCGGAAUGCGUGGUGUAGCGGUGAAAUGCAUAGAUAUCACGCAGAACCCCGAUUGCGAAGGCAGCCUGCCAAGCCAUGACUGACGCUGAUGCACGAAAGCGUGGGGAUCAAACAGGAUUAGAUACCCUGGUAGUCCACGCAGUAAACGAUGAUCACUAGCUGUUUGCGAUACACUGUAAGCGGCACAGCGAAAGCGUUAAGUGAUCCACCUGGGGAGUACGCCGGCAACGGUGAAACUCAAAGGAAUUGACGGGGGCCCGCACAAGCGGAGGAACAUGUGGUUUAAUUCGAUGAUACGCGAGGAACCUUACCCGGGCUUAAAUUGCAGAUGAAUUACGGUGAAAGCCGUAAGCCGCAAGGCAUCUGUGAAGGUGCUGCAUGGUUGUCGUCAGCUCGUGCCGUGAGGUGUCGGCUUAAGUGCCAUAACGAGCGCAACCCUUGCCACUAGUUACUAACAGGUAAAGCUGAGGACUCUGGUGGGACUGCCAGCGUAAGCUGCGAGGAAGGCGGGGAUGACGUCAAAUCAGCACGGCCCUUACAUCCGGGGCGACACACGUGUUACAAUGGCGUGGACAAAGGGAGGCCACCUGGUGACAGGGAGCGAAUCCCCAAACCACGUCUCAGUUCGGAUCGGAGUCUGCAACCCGACUCCGUGAAGCUGGAUUCGCUAGUAAUCGCGCAUCAGCCAUGGCGCGGUGAAUACGUUCCCGGGCCUUGUACACACCGCCCGUCAAGCCAUGGGAGCCGGGGGUACCUGAAGUCCGUAACCGAAAGGAUCGGCCUAGGGUAAAACUGGUGACUGGGGCU
rnacentral:rRNA from 1 species